AUUGAUUCUUGCAUUAGCCCUUUGACAUUAUACAACGGGGGUAUUUAUAGUCAUACAUAUGGAAUGGGAGCCCUUGGAUGAAGUGGCACGUUGCCGCAUCUCCUUGGUUUAAACGUCUGUUCUUAGGCAUGGGAUUUGACUCGCUAGCUUACGGCGCAUUUAUUGCUUGUGCAGGGCCUCCAUGCUAGUGACAAGACUUGACCUUUAUGCUUAUGACAGACAUUCCAUCAAUCAUUCUAAUAAGAUCCGUGCAGGCGAUCUCUUGGGAGAAGUGACCAUGGAGGAUGCUUGUGGUUGAGGUUCGCGCAUCAACUUCGGGGCUUCGUCCAUUUGAGGACCUCAGCUACAACCAAAGGCUUCCAAGCCUCGGGCCAUGGGCCUCGGUUAGAAGCAGCUCGGAUAUAACCCACCUCGGCAGGAAUGCCACGUGGAUCAGGAUGAGUGGGCCACUGGCCCAGGUGGGUAGGACAGGUGUGACAACACGCAACAAUAGUCCCCCAAGUCCAAGUAUAAUCAUUAAUGUAAUGCGUGGACUUUAGAGUAAAAAAUUUUUUGAACCCCCAAAUAAUAGUCCACCAAGUUCAAGUAUAGAUAUUUAUAUCAUGAUUGGAGUUUAGAGAAGUUUUGGUGUAGGUUUAUGCUGAAGAACCGAGGUGGUUGGGGGGACCGAACCUGCGAGGAUUAAAUGCUGAAUGGCAUAUGAGGAGCCGAGGUGGUGUGAAACCGAACUUGCGAGGCUUAAAUGAUGAAUGCCACGUGAAGAAGCCGAGGUGGUGUGAAACCGAACCUGCGAGGAUUAAAUGCUGAAUGGCGUAUGAGGAGCCGAGGUGGUGUGAAACCGAACCUGCGAGGCUUAAAUGAUGAAUGCCUCGUGAAGAGCCGAGGUGGUGUGAAACCGAACCUGCGAGGCUUAAAUGAUGAAUGCCUCGUGAAGAAGCCGAGGUGGUGUGAAACCGAACCUGCGAGGCUUAAAUGAUGAAUGGCAUAUGAGGAGCCGAGGUCCAAUGUAAUGAUUAUGCUUUGGUCUCUGUACCAAUGAUUUGAUGUUUUAUGCUUGUUUUCGAUGAAAGGUAGCUGAACCGUUACGACUUCCAAUGAGCUGGCGCCGACGAAUUAAAGAUGCAAUUAUGAGGGCAGCCGUCGUUUCGAGAAACAGACGCGCCGGAGAGGUGCGUGUGAGGUACGCAUAGAUAGGAGGCGUAUGAUUUCAAAGACUGUUUGAAUUCAACGCCUCGGAUUGGAUCUGGAACGGAGGGUUCGGAUUGACUUAGAUUUGAUCUGACGGGUGGGGUUUGCCUUGGAUCUUUAUAAAAGGCGAGAAAAUUCUACUUUCCAGAAAUUUUAAGCACUUUGCAUUCUCAAACUCUCUCAAAUCUCCUAUUUUCCGGCGUUGAGGUUGUAUGCGAUUAGAUUCCGAC
rnacentral:lncRNA from 1 species